rnacentral:rRNA from 1 species
UACGAAGGGGGCGAGCGUUGUUCGGAUUUACUGGGCGUAAAGCGUGCGCAGGCGGUUUGUUAAGACAGGCGUGAAAUCCCCGGGCUCAACCUGGGAACUGCGCUUGUGACUGGCAGGCUAGAGUACGGGCAGAGGGGGGUGGAAUUCCACGUGUAGCAGUGAAAUGCGCAGAUAUCAGGAGGAACACCGGUGGCGAAGGCGGGUCUCUGGGCCGAUACUGACGCUGAGGAGCGAAAGCGUGGGGAGCGAACAGG